rnacentral:rRNA from 1 species
CUAGAUUGAUGGCGAGUGGCGAACGGGUGAGUAAUACAUCGGAACGUGCCCUGUAGUGGGGGAUAACUAGUCGAAAGAUUAGCUAAUACCGCAUACGACCUGAGGGUGAAAGUGGGGGACCGCAAGGCCUCAUGCUAUAGGAGCGGCCGAUGUCUGAUUAGCUAGUUGGUGGGGUAAAGGCCCACCAAGGCGACGAUCAGUAGCUGGUCUGAGAGGACGAUCAGCCACACUGGGACUGAGACACGGCCCAGACUCCUACGGGAGGCAGCAGUGGGGAAUUUUGGACAAUGGGCGAAAGCCUGAUCCAGCAAUGCCGCGUGUGUGAAGAAGGCCUUCGGGUUGUAAAGCACUUUUGUCCGGAAAGAAAUGGCUCUGGUUAAUACCUGGGGUCGAUGACGGUACCGGAAGAAUAAGGACCGGCUAACUACGUGCCAGCAGCCGCGGUAAUACGUAGGGUCCAAGCGUUAAUCGGAAUUACUGGGCGUAAAGCGUGCGCAGGCGGUUGUGCAAGACCGAUGUGAAAUCCCCGAGCUUAACUUGGGAAUUGCAUUGGUGACUGCACGGCUAGAGUGUGUCAGAGGGGGGUAGAAUUCCACGUGUAGCAGUGAAAUGCGUAGAGAUGUGGAGGAAUACCGAUGGCGAAGGCAGCCCCCUGGGAUAACACUGACGCUCAUGCACGAAAGCGUGGGGAGCAAACAGGAUUAGAUACCCUGGUAGUCCACGCCCUAAACGAUGUCAACUAGUUGUUGGGGAUUCAUUUCCUUAGUAACGUAGCUAACGCGUGAAGUUGACCGCCUGGGAGUACGGUCGCAAGAUUAAAACUCAAAGGAAUUGACGGGGACCCGCACAAGCGGUGGAUGAUGUGGAUUAAUUCGAUGCAACGCGAAAAA